rnacentral:rRNA from 1 species
CAAAAACAUCGCCUCCCGCAAAGAUCAAAGUAUAGGAGGUCCUACCUGCCCAGUGAUUAAAUUUAAACGGCCGCGGUAUUUUGACCGUGCUAAGGUAGCGCAAUCACUUGUCUUUUAAAUGAAGACCUGUAUGAAUGGUGAAACGAGGGCUUAACUGUCUCCCUUCUUAGGUCAGUGAAAUUGAUCUGCCCGUGCAGAAGCGGACAUACAAAUACAAGACGAGAAGACCCUUUGGAGCUUAAGACAUAAGAUCAAUUGUGUCAAUAAGCCCUAAAGAACCAAACAAAACAAUCUGAUCAGCGUCUUCGGUUGGGGCGACCACGGGGGAAAACAAAGCCCCCACGUAGAACGGGACAACCCCUAAAACUAAGAGGGACACCUCUAAGCCACAGAACCUCUGACUUAAAAGAUCCGGCACACGCCGAUUAACGAACCAAGUUACCCUAGGGAUAACAGCGCAAUCCUCUCCAAGAGUCCAUAUCGACAAGGGGGUUUACGACCUCGAUGUUGGAUCAGGACAUCCUAAUGGUGCAGCCGCUAUUAAGGGUUCGUUUGUUCAACGAUUAAAGUCCUACGUGAUCUGAU